rnacentral:rRNA from 1 species
AGCAGCCGCGGUAAUUCCAGCUCCAAUAGCGUAUAUUAAAGUUGUUGCAGUUAAAAAGCUCGUAGUUGAAUUUCGGGAUUCUGCCGUUGGUCGGGCUAACAAGUCUGUACUGGUGUGUAGAAUUUCUACCUUCUGGGGAACUAUCAUGUUAUUAAUUUAGCGUGGUGGGAAACCAGGACCUUUACCUUGAAAAAAUUAGAGUGUUCAAAGCAGGCUUACGUCUGAAUACAUUAGCAUGGAAUAAUAGAAUAGGACGGUGGUCCUGUUUUGUUGGUUUCUGAAUCACCGUAAUGAUUAAUAGGGAUAGUUGGGGGCAUUAGUAUUCAAUUGUCAGAGGUGAAAUUCUUGGAUUUAUUGAAGACUAACUUCUGCGAAAGCAUUUGCCAAGGAUGUUUUCAUUAAUCAAGAACGAAAGUUAGGGGAUCGAAGACGAUCAGAUACCGUCGUAGUCUUAACCAUAAACUAUGCCGACUAGGGAUCGGACGAUGUUAAAUUUUAUUGACUCGUUCGG